rnacentral:rRNA from 1 species
CGACUGGGGUGAAGUUGUAACAAGGUAGCCGUAGGUGAACCUGCAAAAGGAUCA